rnacentral:tRNA from 1 species
AUUUAAAUAGUUUAAUCAAAAUAUUGGUUUGUGGGGCCAAGGAUAAAGUUAUCUUUUUUAAAUA